AGCGCUGCGGCGGCACAGAUACGUCCUGGCCGCCGCAGCGCCUGCUACUGAUUCCUAAACCGUGUGUCGCAGGUUCGAAUCCUGCCGGGG
rnacentral:tRNA from 1 species